rnacentral:rRNA from 1 species
GACGAACGCUGGCGGCGUGCUUAACACAUGCAAGUCGAACGGUGAAGCGCCUUCCUUUUUGGUGGGUGUGGAUGAGUGGCGAACGGGUGAGUAACACGUGAGUAACCUGCCCCCUUCUUCUGGAUAACCGCAUGAAAGUGUGGCUAAUACGGGAUAUUCUGGGUCUGUCGCAUGAUGGGUCUGGGAAAGAUAUUGUUUCGGUGGGGGAUGGGCUCGCGGCCUAUCAGCUUGUUGGUGGGGUGAUGGCCUACCAAGGCGGUGACGGGUAGCCGGCCUGAGAGGGUGGACGGUCACACUGGGACUGAGACACGGCCCAGACUCCUACGGGAGGCAGCAGUGGGGAAUAUUGCACAAUGGGCGCAAGGCUGAUGCAGCGACGCCGCGGGAGGGAUGGAGGCCUUCGGGUUGUGAACCUCUUUCGCCAGUGAAGCAGGCCUGCCUCGUUUGUGGGUGGGUUGACGGUAGCUGGAGAAGAAGCGCCGGCUAACUACGUG